UCUCUUACUAAGAUUUUAAUGUUUGAUGUGUCUACAAAAUUAUAGAUAAAUAAUAUUUAAAUCAAAUUUGAGAUAAUUUUUUUUAUUUGAGAUUUAAUAUGAUUGCAAAAUUAUAGGGGACUUAAUGUAAUUAUUGAACAUUAACAAGUCUUAAAUAUUACAAUGUUUAUUUGCUUGGUGCUUUGGCCUUUAUGGCAUAUCUUUGUCAUUUGUUU
rnacentral:lncRNA from 1 species